rnacentral:rRNA from 1 species
UUCGGAUGAUUUCUAUUUGACUGAGCGGCGGACGGGUGAGUAACGCGUGAGUAACCUGCCUAUCAGAGGGGGACAACAUUUCGAAAGGGAUGCUAAUACCGCAUGAUAUCUAAGUACCGCAUGGUAUUUAGAUCAAAGAUUUAUCGCUGAUAGAUGGCCUUGCGUCUGAUUAGUUAGUUGGUGGGGUAACGGCCUACCAAGACGACGAUCAGUAGCCGGACUGAGAGGUUGAACGGCCACAUUGGGACUGAGAUACGGCCCAGACUCC